GGUGACUUUGAUGCUGUGAGAAGUGAGCGCCUCAAGCUUCAUAUCCAGCGGUGGACCCUCUGGUGCUGCAGGGGAAGACAUUUUAAACAGGACAUCAAUGCCAAAAAGAGAUUAUAUUAUGUCCUUGUGGGUCUCACCUGCCACUACCGUCAGAGUCAGCUGGUGUUUGUGAUCAUUGAACCAGCCCGGUAUAUCCACACGGCAGCCAUACGUUCCUGAGUCACUCUCCUGGGCCUGCUUGAUGGUCAGCGACACAUCACCCUCACCAAGGUUACCACUUAACAGGUAACGCUCUGACAGUCUUCGGAGCACUGACGUCCCGUCUGACUUGAUAACUUCAUUGGCACAGCCUCUGUUGGGGAUGUCUCCUCGACCCCAGCAUACAGGAAGCCUGCCGUAGUACCCAGCAUCAUAAUUGCAAUUCAAAGUAACAUCUUGCCCCACUGUGGUUAUGGUAGUUUCUGCAGACACACAACCUGAAAAGGUGGAAACUCCUGUUGCAAUUAGGAAUAUUUGGAAAUAUUUAUUAAAUAAACACAUAAUUAAAAUGUA